ACCCUUUCCGUAGGUGAACCUGCGGAAGGAUCAUUA
rnacentral:rRNA from 1 species